AGGCUGGCUUUAGCCUAGCAGUUCCUUCAAGUCUGGCUUCCCAACCGCCCCGGCCGAUUGGUCCAGUGGUUCGAGAUCCACGGGCGAUCUCCACUCCUUUA
ensembl:misc_RNA Vault Vault RNA